UGAGGAAUAUUGCGCAAUGGGGGAAACCCUGACGCAGCGACGCCGCGUGAGUGACGAAGGUUUUCGGAUCGUAAAGCUCUGUCAGAAGGGAAGAAAUGCUAUAUGGUUAAUACCCCUAUAGUUUGACGGUACCUUCAGAGGAAGCACCGGCUAACUCCGUGCCAGCAGCCGCGGUAAUACGGAGGGUGCAAGCGUUGUUCGGAAUUACUGGGCGUAAAGGGCGCGUAGGCGGCUUGAUAAGUCAGGUGUGAAAGUCCACGGCUCAACCGUGGAAGUGCAUUUGAAACUGUCAGGCUUGAGUAUCGGAGGGGAGUGUGGAAUUCCCGGUGUAGAGGUGAAAUUCGUAGAGAUCGGGAGGAACACCGGUGGCGAAGGCGACACUCUGGACGAAUACUGACGCUGAGGCGCGAAAGCGUGGGGAGCAAACAGGAUUAGAUACCCUGGUAGUCCACGCAGUAAACGGUGAUCACUAGGUGUAGCGGGUAUUGACCCCUGCUGUGCCGCAGCUAACGCAUUAAGUGUUCCGCCUGGGGAGUACGAUCGCAAGAUUA
rnacentral:rRNA from 1 species